GACGAACGCUGGCGGCGUGCUUAACACAUGCAAGUCGAACGAAGUGGCGAACGGGUGAGUAACGCGUAAUAAACAUGCCCUUCAGAGGGGGACACCAGUUGGAAACGACUGCUAAUACCGCAUACUGAAGGAGGGGAUUGCGUCUGAUUAGCUAGUUGGAGGGGUAACGGCCCACCAGGGCGAUGAUCAGUAGGCGGUCUUGGAGGAUGAACGGCCACAUUGUGACUGAGACACGGCCCAGACUCCUACGGGAGGCAGCAGUGGGGAAUCUUUCGCAAUGGACGAAAGUCUGACUGAGCAACGCCGCGUGAGUGAUGACGGCCUUCGGGUUGUAAAGCUCUGUUAAUCGGGACGCGGUACCGGAAUAGAAAGCCACGGCUAACUACGUGCCAGCAGCCGCGGUAAUUC
rnacentral:rRNA from 1 species